ACAUUGAAAGGUUUGCUUUUGCUUUUCUUUUGGGGCAACCCACGUCUUCUUUUCCUUCCUUUUUUUAUAAUGCAAGACAGUGAUUUUUAUACAUUGUUUUCAUAUAUGUUGAGCCAAGGGGAUAUAGCUCAGCUGGCUAGAGCGGCGGCUUUGCAAGCCGUAGGUCAGGGGUUCGAAUCCCCUUAUCUCCAUAGCAAGCAUCUUGGGAAGCCAGGUGCUAAGCGAAGAUUUUUGACAACACAAUUAGGGAAGGAAGAUGAAAUAAGCUUUGGAAUAAAGUUUUAUUUCAUAUUUCAUAAAGCUUUAGCUAAAGCUUUAUGCACGUACGAAAAUAAAUUUUCGUAACGGAAUAAUAAUAU
rnacentral:tRNA from 1 species